rnacentral:rRNA from 1 species
AAGGCGCCCGAUCUCGUCUGAUCUCGGAAGCUAAAGCAGGUCGGGCCUGGUUAGGAUCUUGGAUGGGAGACCACCUGGGAAUCCCGGGU